CCCUUAGAUGUUCUCGGCCGCACACGCGCUACACUGAAAGAGGCAACGUGUUUGCCUGAUUCGAAAGAAUUGGGUAACCCCCUAAUCUCUUUCGUGCUGGGGAUUGAGGUUUGCAAUUAUCCUUCAUGAACGAGGAAUUCCCAGUAAGUGCGAGUCAUUAUCUCGCGCUGACUACGUCCCUGCCCUUUGUACACACCGCCCGUCGCUACUACCGAUUGAAUGAUUUAGUGAGGACUUCGGACUGAGUCCAAUGCGGCUUUCGGGCUGCGUCGGUAUUCUGGAAAGAUGUCCAAACUGUAUCAUUUAGAGGAAGUAAAAGUCGUAACA
rnacentral:rRNA from 1 species